GCUUCCAUGGUGUAGUUGGUUAUCACGUCAGUCUCAUAAUCUGAAGGUCGCCAGUUCGAGCCUGGCUGGGAGCA
rnacentral:tRNA from 1 species